GCAGUCGAGCGCGAAUAGGGGCAACCCUUAGUAGAGCGGCGCACGGGUGCGUAACACGUGGAUAAUCUGCCUGGAUGCUCGGGAUAACCAGUCGAAAGAUUGGCUAAUACCGGAUAAGCCCACGGUUUCUUCGGAGACUGAGGGAAAAGGUGGCCUCUGUAUACAAGCUAUCACAACCAGAUGAGUCCGCGGCCCAUCAGCUAGUUGGCGGGGUAAUGGCCCACCAAGGCGACGACGGGUAGCUGGUCUGAGAGGACGAUCAGCCACACUGGAACUGAGACACGGUCCAGACUCCUACGGGAGGCAGCAGUGGGGAAUUUUGCGCAAUGGGCGAAAGCCUGACGCAGCAACGCCGCGUGUGUGAUGAAGGUCUUCGGAUUGUAAAGCACUUUCGACCGGGACGAAAACCCGUAGCCCAACACGCUACGGCUUGACGGUACCGGGAGAAGAAGCACCGGCUAACUCUGUGCCAGCAGCCGCGGUAAUACAGAGGGUGCAAGCGUUGUUCGGAAUUAUUGGGCGUAAAGCGCGUGUAGGCGGCGUGACAAGUCGGGUGUGAAAGCCCUCAGCUCAACUGAGGAAGUGCGCCCGAAACUGUCGUG
rnacentral:rRNA from 1 species